GUCAGGACUUAGAAGCUCCUCUGGAGUAUUCUCUCAGCUCAUUACUGACUCUUGUGGACUGGUAGAAACUAGAAGACGUGGAUUCCAUAGAGCAACAAAAAGCUAAGUGGCUUAGACUUCUGUUGCUUUCUCAUCAAGAAUAUCCUUCAAGUAAAUAGGAGGACUAUGAAUCUGGGAUUAAGGAGAAACUUGAUUUGGAGGCGUAUGGAGACUCUUCAUUGAAGCAGUCUAACAUGUCACUUGCAAGUGAAGACAUUCACCAGAUGAACAUUUGCCAGCAUAUCUGUACAUCGUUCAGUCAGUACUUCUGGCCUGGUCACCAGGGAAUCUAUCACCUGAGUAAAAGAAGGAGGGUGGAGAGGGUAUCCAUGGGGAAAGCAGGAUCCUAUCAGAGGCAUGUGGACGCAAGUGAGUGUGUGCAGUGGCAUCUUCAGUGGCCUGGCAGAGGCUCAGCUGCAAACCAGGAAUUUCCCUUCUGAAACUUUCUUCCACCACAAGUUCACUCACUAGGCAGCUUUAGACAAUUCAUUCUUAGACUGAAUUUCCCAC
rnacentral:lncRNA from 1 species